AGGACGAACGCUGGCGGCGUGCUUAACACAUGCAAGUCGAACGAGGUGCUUGCACCUAGUGGCGAACGGGUGAGUAACACGUGAGCAACCUGCCCUUGGCUCUGGGAUAGCCUCCGGAAACGGGGAUUAAUACCGGACAUGACCUUCUUCCGCAUGGUUGAAGGUGGAAAGUUUUUCGGCCAGGGAGGGGCUCGCGGCCUAUCAGCUUGUUGGAGGGGUAACGGCCCACCAAGGCGACGACGGGGUAGCCGGCCUGAGAGGGCGACCGGCCACACUGGGACUGAGACACGGCCCAGACUCCUACGGGAGGCAGCAGUGGGGAAUAUUGCGCAAUGGGGGAAACCCUGACGCAGCGACGCCGCGUGCGGGAUGAAGGCCUUCGGGUUGUAAACCGCUUUCACCAGGACGAGCGAGAGUGACGGUACCUGGGGAAGAAGCGCCGGCUAACUACGUGCCAGCAGCCGC
rnacentral:rRNA from 1 species